rnacentral:lncRNA from 1 species
UAGUUGAAUUUUAAGUAGGGCGUUGGAACUCUGGCUAAGUUUGACUGAACGAUGUGAAAAUAGCACUAAGUUGAUAUUCCUCCGCAUUUUUGGAAGAUAGGUGGGAAACAGGGAGAAGGAGUGACCGGCUCUUGUAGUACAAGGCCAAUUGGCCUUUUUAUUUGGGUGGGAGGCAGUGAAGGGCUUGCCCUUUCAAUAGUACGUCUCCAAUCUCUCUCCCCCCUAUUAAUUAAGUUAAAUAAGGCAACGCUUAACUGAGGUGAUCAAAUGAUUUUCUCAUCCGUAGAUGAGUGGGCUUUUAACCUUGGCUUGGGUGGACAUGGACCCGAUUCCUCCCGUGGGUAAAACCCACACAUGUGGCUCUCGGUACCUUUUGGGGAGGCGAGGUAGAGCCGGAGAAUAUUUUUUAUUUUUAACCAAAAUUUGGUACCAACCUCUUUCAAACCGGGUUUAUCUCACAGGAAACUCAGAAAUGGUCAAGCCGGACCUUUCCUUGCAGUAAGUAUCUCUGCACCAAGCGGUGCCCAUACUGAAUUUGUACAAUCACAAACCAGUAUGCACAGUUCUGAGUGCUGUGCAGCUCCUAAAGGAGAAUUAUCAACCUCAGAAUUAGCAAAGCCUAAGCAAGAAUUAUGUCGUUAAUAACACCACGAUUUGUGGGUAAAAUAGGAGCUGGAAGUCGAUCCUCCUCAUCCCUGUUUUUUCCACAGCCUACCGAGCUAAGGACACCUUGCGGUAACAGCAAGGGUGAAAAGCCAGAGGUCAGCUAAGGGGCUAAGCCUGUCUAUCAAAAUAAAAACCAAUCUUUAUUAAUAUAGAAAAAUCUACUCUUCUAGCCCUCUAGGUAAACCUAAAUUUUUAACUCAGACUGAAAGCCACAUGCUGGAAAUGUCCUGAGACUGGGGGUAACAGCUGCCACCUGUGUGUUCUAGGGGGGGCGGGGAUGCACAUCUACUGGUCCGCCUCGGGAAUGUUGAUUUACCUGCUUGAAAGACAAAAUCUUGAAAGACAGUGAGAAAGUAGGAAAGCAGAACUUCUUUCCGGGAAGUCUAGGUACUUUAUUCAAAUGCAAAUUGUAAAUCUGAGGCUAGUCUCCUGCCUCCUGUCGGGAGCUGGUUCAGAGAGUAGCUGGAGACACAAACAGCUUUGAGAGCUGUUGCUCUCAGCUGAAUUUUAAGCACAAAAGGAAUUUUAGUCUUUAGAAUGAUACUUACCAGAAGAGUCAGAAUCUGUGUUCAUCUGACGAAUUAAUCUCUCUGGCAGCCACCGCGCUCCAUCUUCAUCUCGUGAAAAAACACAAACUGAGCCCCUACCCUAAAUUAGAACUGGAUCUGGACCCUUCCAUUUAUUAGUCAGGGGGUCCUUCCAUUUUACCAAUGCAUAAGAAUUAGAAGUAACUGGAUGCCAGUGGCGAUCCGCUGCAGACUGGCCCUUGAUAUCGGUGUGCAAGAAAUUUAGGACAAAUAAAGUGAAGGCAAGGUGGGCCUUUGGUGACCUUGGGGGAUAUAGCUGACCCUCUUUUGUCUUAAAAAGCCAAUUCUUUAAGGUGCGAUGAGCACGUUCAACUAUUCCUUGUCCCAUGGGGUUGUAAGGAAUUCCAGUUUUAUGUUUAAUACCGAAUUCUUUACAGAAUGAAAUAAAGUUUUUACUGG